GACGAACGCUGGCGGCGUGCUUAACACAUGCAAGUCGAACGGGCCUGCCUGGCUUUGGUUGGGUGGGUGAGUGGCGAACGGGUGAGUAACACGUGAGUAACCUGCCCUCUUCUCUUGGAUAACUGCUUGAAAGGGCGGCUAAUACGGGAUGUUCUGGCUGCCUCGCAUGGGGUGGUUUGGAAAGAUUCGGCCUGGUUUUGGUUGUUUUGGUGGGGGAUGGGCUCGCGGCUUAUCAGCUUGUUGGUGGGGUGAUGGCCUACCAAGGCGGUGACGGGUAGCCGGCCUGAGAGGGUGGACGGUCACACUGGGACUGAGACACGGCCCAGACUCCUGCGGGAGGCAGCAGUGGGGGAUUUUGCACAAUGGGCGCAAGCCUGAUGCAGCGACGCCGCGUGAGGGAUGGAGGCCUUCGGGUUGUGAACCUCUGUCGCCGGUGAUGUAGGCUCUGCUUU
rnacentral:rRNA from 1 species